CCCAGCAACUUUGUCCGGUUGCCGUUAGAUGGCAUUAGUGUAUAGUAAGCGUUGUUGUUGUCGUUAACUUCUAAGAGUAAACAAAAGUUCUUUUAGUGGUUUUUUACCAAUCACAGGAUUCCAUUACCCGGGAUAGGUUGUUGCAAAGAUAAUGAUGGCCCCGUAGAAGCAAUGUACAAGACAAAUGUGAGAAUGGCGAAAAAAUUUAUUGCACUAUUUGUGUCAGUGAUAUACCUCACACAGCCCACAAAAAGUCAGCGAAUUUCAAUUGAAGGUGGGUCAAAUGAACCACAUGCUGGAACGAACGUCACAAUUAAUUGCAGAGGGCGAGGUGAUACAUUGCAGUGGAGUCAUGGCCAUCAUGAAAUCAUACCAGAUAAUGAUAGAUGGCAUGUGGAAACACAGAAGAAAGAGGAAGCUAUUCAGAGUCAGUUGACAAUAAUACGAGUUGGUUUACAUGACUCUGGUAGAUAUCACUGCCGUGUAAAUAACACAAGCAAAGACAAAGUGACGGAUAAGAAUGUUACCAUUCAUGUUCAAGCUGGCCCUGUGUUGAAGGAAGCACGGAACUCAACAGUCAGAGUUGGGAACAAAGCAAAGCUCUCGUGCACUUUUGCUGCCGUCCCCGCACCAGACGUCCAUUGGGUGAAGGAUAAAAAACUUCUGGAUAAAUUAAAAGGGUAUAGUGUUGAGACUCGUGAAGAAUCAGAUCUACAUCUUUCUGAUCUUAUUAUUGAUAAUGCAACAUUAAAAGACAAUGGAAGUUACGAAUGUGUUGCCUCCAAUGUUAUAGGAAAUGGGGAUCAGAGUGGGAAGCCUUAUCUUCUUGUUCAAGAUGUACCAGAAGUGAACUUUACCAAGGUACGGCCUGUGGGUACGAAAGCAGUUGAAGUGGAGUGGUCUGUUCAAGAUGGAAAUUCACCCAUUCUUCAGACAAAAAUAUAUAUUGCUUCAGGUGAAGGAGACUUUGAAGAGCGGUCAGAAAUAUCAGGAGAAUCGACUAAAACAGUUCUCGAAGAUGUAGGUGAACCUGGUGGUGAUUUGCGAGUGAAAAUAAAGGUUAUAAACGAUAUUGGUGAAGCAGAAAGUCAGGACAUACCAUUAGUGCUCUUAACAGAAGAGCCAAAAUUCAUUCCAAAAGCAUCACCACGUGGUUCUACCCUCGACUCAUUCACAGUAGGAUGGACUGAGCCAAGUGGAGAUGCUGAAGAGUAUGUUGGGUAUUACAUGCUCUCUCUAACUGACCCAGCUACUGGAGAUUCUCAACAAGCAAUCAAAGAAGCUCCUGCAUCUGACCACAUGUUUACAGGUCUAAAACCAGCUACUCAGUAUGAAUUUAAAGUUGCUGCUUGUAUGGAUGUGUAUGAAGAGCCUGGGAAGGAUUGUGGUGAAUAUUCUGUGCCAGUAAAUGGAAGAACACUAAAUGGAGUUCCUAAUAGGAUAUCAGACUUGUUAGUGGACUGCAAACAGAAUACACAAACAGCUGCAAACACAGUUAUUAUUCGAUGGAAACCUCCAAAUACUACUAAUGGCAUAAUUGAUCACUACAAGAUUGAAAUUAUAGAAACUGCAUCCUUUAUCAAUGAAGAAGGACAAAGGCGCUAUUAUAAUAAUGAAUAUAAGGAAAAUGUCCCUGGUUCAGCCCGGAAUUAUACAUAUUUCAAAGGUCUUCCGAAUACAAAUUAUACUAUUAAGGUUUAUGCUGGAUCAAGGCGUCAGUAUAGCUCCCCGCUCAGUGCUGUGUGCAGGAUGCCUGUCUGGGUACCUGUCCCUGAGCGAGUCAGUUGGUGGAAAUACUUUCAUGAAGGGCAGACUGUUUUGAAGUUGCCAGUGCCUAGAGUGUCUCAGCGAAAUGGCACCAUUUGCUGUCAUAGAAUUGUUGUAGUGAAGUUAGCUGGUGACUCAACAUUGCAAGCAUUACCAAGCCCCAAUAAGUUACCUAUUAGUACUUAUGAGGAGGUCCACCGCUCUCCGUCCUCUACUGGUGCAUACGUUGCAGAAGCAUUUACGAGGUUAAGUAUCAAAGAUAAGUACUUGCUUCUUGGUGAUGGAAAAGUUGUUGGCAAUUGGUCUGGUGGAUGUGCUGCUUGUCAUGGAGAAAUUUCUCCAAUUGCGGAAGCUGCAACAUCGCACAGUAGUGAUCUUCGGGUUGCUAGAGCUAUUACCAGAGGCUCAAGGCAUCUCUUGUCAUUACAAGCAACUACGCCGGUUGAAGAUGGCAUUUUGUCUCAGGAGGCUAACUAUACUGGUUUUGUCGUUUUAUCAGUACAACCUGAUGAAGGAAAGGAGCCCCUUACUGCUUUCAGCAGUUAUUUCCCAAUUAUUCAGCCUGUGGAAGAUACAAAUCUUGGAACUGGAACUCCUCCAAGAAUUUCCCAGAUGCAGAUUGUUUAUGUAGCUGCAGGCCUGUUCACAUUCCUUCUCCUCUUGACAAUUGGACUUUGCACCUUGCUAUGUUUUUAUCGUAGACGUAACAAACAUCUUGAAGAGGAAGAAGUUGCAGAAAGUCUCUCUGGAUCACUUGGGCGCAUCUUCCGGUCACUCCGACGGUCACACACACUGAUGUCUCAGCCUGCAAUUGAUGUGAAACCCAUUCCAAGGGAAGAACUUGUUCCACAAUAUGUAGAAAAGCUGAAAGACUCAGAGCUUGGAUUUAGAAGAGAAUAUGAGUCUCUUCCCGAGAAGUUCUAUGACCGCACAAGUCGAGCAUCAGAUAUGAUUGAGAAUGCACAAAAGAAUCGUUACCCAGAUAUCAAGGCAUAUGAUCAAACACGGGUGAAGUUAACACAGAUAAAUGGAGCAAUUGGUUCAGAUUACAUCAAUGCAAACUAUGUAUUAGGAUACAAAGAACGCAAGAAGUUCAUUUGCGCUCAAGGCCCAAUGGAUGCAACUGUUGAUGACUUUUGGCGUAUGUUGAUUGAACAGGGAUGUGGUGUGUGUGUAAUGUUAACAAAUUUGGAGGAAACAGGAAAGAUUAAGUGUGUGAAAUACUGGCCAGAAGCAGGUCAACCUAAGACUUUUGGAAACAUCACAGUUCACUUGGUUAAAGAAAAGGCAUUUUCAGACUACAUGGUCAGAACUUUACGUGCAGAGUGGGGAGAAGGAGACGAUUCACAGAGCCUUGAGGUACAGCAGUAUCACUAUCUUCUUUGGAAAGACUUCAUUGCACCAGAGCACCCUACGGGUGUUCUUUCAUUCCUUCGUCGUAUAAAUGAAGCCUAUUCAAAUGACAAAGGACCUCUUCUCAUACAUUGCAGUGCUGGUGUUGGUCGAACGGGAACAUUGGUAGCUUUAGAUUCAUUAGUAAUGGAAUUGGAAGAGGAAGGCCAUGCAUCUAUUUUCAACUUGAUCUGUGACCUUCGUCACCAAAGAAAUUUCCUUGUUCAGUCAUUAAAACAGUAUGUGUUUCUACAUAGAGCACUGAUGGAGUAUUCUCAGUUUGGAAAUACUGAGUUAAGUAUAGCACAGGUGAAGGAGGCUCACAGUAAUCACACAUACCAUGAUAGUCUUGAAGACUCGUCUCCUUUGGAAAAGGAAUUUGAGCGGUUGGGUAAAGUUGUAGAAGACCGGAAGGCCUUUGCUAUCGCAACAAGUGAAGAAAACAAACCUAAAAAUCGUUAUGAUUUUGUUUUACCAUAUGAUUCCAAUCGUGUUAUUUUGGCUCCCUUGCCUACAAGACCAUCAUCUACAUAUAUUAAUGCCUCAUUUGUCACGGGUUAUGAUUUGGCAGAGUCGUUUAUAGUCACGCAAGACCCUACUGAUAACACUAUAGCAGAUUUUUGGAGAAUGGUAUUUGACCAAGAAGUCACAACAAUAGUUAUGCUUUCAGAGCUGGGAAGUGGUGAUGAUUGUUGCAACAAGUACUGGCCAGAGGAUGACGAAACUUAUGAACACAUUUCGGUUAAGCUGAUAUCUAGUGAAAGCUACCCAAAAUAUUCUUGUCGGACCUUCCUCCUUACAAACACGAAGAACAAUGAUGUGCUGACUGUGACCCACUUUCAUUAUGUUGGCUGGUCUGGUGCUUUAGGCGAAGUGCCUUUAGUAACACAUGGCAUCAUGGAACUUAUCAUUAGAGUCCAGUCCCAUACUGAUGCCACCUUGAACACACCUGCUCCAACUCUUGUUCACUGCUCUGGUGGUGGAGAUCGAUCCAGUGUUUACUGCUGCCUUAAUAAUUGCUUACGGCAGCUUCGACGAGAGGGGCGAGUAGACAUAUUUCAGACUGCAAGGAGGCUGAGAGCCUUGAGACAGUUCCAGUUACAAGAAUUUGCACAGUAUGAAUUUGUGUACAAGGCUCUUAUUGAAUUCAUCGACAGCAUUGGGAUUAGAACCAUGUAAAGAAAGAUUCCAGUUCCAAAUAGACAUUGAGAAAUCAGUCAGUUGGUUUAUGAAGAAAAGGGAUGCGUACCAGACCCCUGCAAUAGCUAGAACCUCUCGACUGUGUCGUCGAGACUGGCAUCCUCUGCUUCCUGUGCCUCCUGUGACUCCCAGAAGAUUAAAGUGGUGAAGCAUGAAAACAUGAAAUGAAACAUAUAUACCAACAAAAAUGAUUGCAUUUAUCUUUUAGUUUGUAAAACUAAAAAGGAAAAUACAGUGAAAAUAUAAAUGAGAAAAGGAUAAGAUAUAAAGUGAAGUGUGUGUGUGUUUCUGUAUAGGCUUCAAUGUAAGCAUACCUCAGUUUUCGUUUCUCUCUCUCUCUGAUCAUACUGUAUCUCAGUACUGUACAUAGCCUUUAAUAAAACAUGACUUAUUGUAUCCUGAACAUAAAACCAAACCAAACAAGCUCUAGCAAGUCAGAAGUCUACCUAGCCCUGCAUCCCCACCCCCUCCCAGCCAGGGAAGCUGCUACCCAGAUCUACCCGCCUCCUAAAACAGCGUUAUCUGUGAGUGAGUUCUAUAUAGCACUUAAUGCCUCUCCGUGCCCAUGGUGCCCAGGCAUCCAACCCACCCACCUUACCUUGGAAACUUUGCCAGGCCUCCCAAACCCUCUCUCAGUCUGUUUAGGACUGUAAGCAGUGUUACCAACAGGUUUUCCAGAGACCAUGCAGAUUUGUCAACAGUUGGAGUGUUUAAAAAGAUGAAAGAAAUGUUGUAUAUCUUGGGGCUUUGUCCUUUGGGUUCAGUUUUGUCUGGGUAAUGUUGAAUGAUUACUAUAAUAUAUAUAUAUAUAUAUAUAUAUAUAUAUAUAUAUAUAUAUAUA